rnacentral:rRNA from 1 species
CGCAAGCCUGAUCCAGCCAUGCCGCGUGUGUGAAGAAGGCCUUCGGGUUGUAAAGCACUUUUGUCCGGAAAGAAAUCCAACCGAUUAAUACCCGGUUGGGAUGACGGUACCGGAAGAAUAAGCACCGGCUAACUUCGUGCCAGCAGCCGCGGUAAUACGAAGGGUGCAAGCGUUACUCGGAAUUACUGGGCGUAAAGCGUGCGUAGAUGGUGGCUUAAGUCCGAUGUGAAAGCCCUGGGCUCAACCUGGGAAUGGCAUUGGAUACUGGGUCGCUGGAGUGCGGUAGAGGGGUGCGGAAUUCCCGGUGUAGCAGUGAAAUGCGUAGAUAUCGGGAGGAACAUCCGUGGCGAAGGCGGCACCCUGGACCAGCACUGACACUGAGGCACGAAAGCGUGGGGAGCAGACAGGAUUAGAUACCCUGGUAGUCCACGCCCUAAACGAUGCGAACUGGAUGUUGGGUGCAACUUGGCACUCAGUAUCGAAGCUAACGCGUUAAG